ACCGACAGGCCUGAAUGGCGGCAGCUUCUGCUGUGAGGGAGGCAAAGCAGCGGGUGUGGGAGGAGUUCGGAGUAACCACGGAGAAGGACUUUCGAUCAGCACCAAAGUGCUUCUGGCAGGCCAUGAGGCACCUCAGGAGAGGAAAAUGGGGAACCAUCCAAGCUAUUUAUAGUAAGGAUGGGACUCUGUUGACCUCAACUGAGGAGGCAAUCGGGCACUGG